GCCCUCGUAGCUCAGGGGAUAGAGCACCGCUCUCCUAAAGCGGGUGUCGCAGGUUCGAAUCCUGCCGAGGGCA
rfam:Mycobacterium sp. 852002-51759_SCH5129042 contig_123, whole genome shotgun sequence.